UGAUGUGCAGGCGAUGUUUCGUGCAGAUAAAGAAGAACGCUCGGUAAUUCAAAGCAGUUCCAGAUCCAUUAAGACGCGCAUUAUCUCGAGGUCGUUCUCGUCCCACUGAACUGAAUGCGACAUUCUUAGAGGUGCAUGUUCGCGUCUUAUCUCAAGGCACUGUGACUACCACACCACCGUGUUUCCCUACACAAUAAGAAA